rnacentral:rRNA from 1 species
UACGAAGGACCCGAGCGUUAUCCGGAUUCAUUGGGUUUAAAGGGUGCGUAGGUGGCCUAUUAAGUCAGGGGUGAAAGACGGUAGCUUAACUAUCGCAGUGCCUUUGAUACUGAUGGGCUUGAAUACAGAUGAAGUGGGCGGAAUGUGACAAGUAGCGGUGAAAUGCAUAGAUAUGUCACAGAACACCGAUUGCGAAGGCAGCUCACUAAAUUGUGAUUGACACUGAGGCACGAAAGCGUGGGGAUCAAACAGG